rnacentral:rRNA from 1 species
UGGGGAAUCUUGGACAAUGGGGGCAACCCUGAUCCAGCCAUGCCGCGUGAGUGAUGAAGGCCUUAGGGUCGUAAAGCUCUUUCGCCUGUGAAGAUAAUGACGGUAGCAGGUAAAGAAACCCCGGCUAACUCCGUGCCAGCAGCCGCGGUAAUACGGAGGGGGUUAGCGUUGUUCGGAAUUACUGGGCGUAAAGCGCACGUAGGCGGACCAGAAAGUUGGGGGUGAAAUCCCGGGGGCUCAACCCCGGAACUGCCUCCAAAACUAUUGGUCUAGAGUUCGAGAGAGGUGAGUGGAAUUCCAAGUGUAGAGGUGAAAAUUCGUAGAUAUUUGGAGGAACACCAGUGGCGAAAGGCGGCUCACUGGCUCGAUACUGACGCUGAGGUGCGAAAAGUGUGGGGGAGCAAAACAGGAUUAGAUACCCUGGGUAGUCCACACCGUAAAACGAUGAAUGCCAGUCGUCGGGGUAGCAUGCUAUUCGGUGACACACCUAACGGAUUAAAGCAUUCCGCCUGGGGAGUACGGUCGCAAGAUUAAAAACUCAAAAUG